rnacentral:rRNA from 1 species
CGCACCUUGCGCCCUUUGGCUAUUCCGAAGGGCAUGCCUGUUUGAGUAUCAUGAACACCUCAACUCUCAUGGUUUGCCGUGAUGAGCUUGGACUUUGGGGGUCUUGCUGGCCUAUGGGUCGGCUCCUCUCAAAUAAAUCAGCUUGCCAGUGUCUGGUGGCAUCACAGGUGUGAUAACUAUCUACGCUUGUGGUUUUCCAUCAGGUAACCUUCAGUGAUGGAGGUUCGCUGGGGCUCAUAAAUGUCUCUCCUCAGUGAGGACAGCUUUUUGAACGUUUGAUCUCAAAUCAGGUAGGACUACCCGCUGAACUUAA